GACAGAGGUGGAAAGCGUUGUUCGGAUUCAUUGGGUGUAAAGGGUCCGUAGGUGGCCCGUUAAGUCCGGCGUGAAAUCCCAGAGCUCAACUCUGGAACUGCGUCGGAAACUAUCGGGCUUGAGUGCCGGAGAGGUGAAGGGAAUUCCCGGUGUAAGGGUGAAAUCUGUAGAUAUCGGGAGGAACACCAGUGGCGAAGGCGCUUCACUGGCCGGUUACUGACGCUGAGGGACGAAAGCAAGGGGAGUAAACAGG
rnacentral:rRNA from 1 species